GCCCUACGGGGCGCAGCAGUCGCGAAAACUUCGCAAUGGGGGCAACCCCGACGAGGGAAUUCCAAGUGCCAGCACUUUGUGUUGGCUGUUCUCCUGUCUAAAAAACAGGAGGAGUAAGGGGCGGGUAAGACGGGUGCCAGCCGCCGCGGUAAUACCCGCGCCCCUAGUGGUGGUCGAUAUUAUUGAGCCUAAAACGUCCGUAGCCGGUCUUUUAAAUCCUUGGGUAAAUCGGGCAGCUUAACUGUCCGAAGUCCGGGGAGACUGGGAGACUUGGGACCGGGAGAGGUCAGAGGUACUUCUGGGGUAGGGGUAAAAUCCUGUAAUCCUGGAAGGACCACCGGUGGCGAAGGCGACUGACUAGAACGGAUCCGACGGUGAGGGACGAAGCCCUGGGGCGCAAACGGGAUUAGAUACCCCGGUAGUCCAGGGUGUAAACGCUGCGGGCUUGGUGUUGGGGGUCCUUAGUGGGCGCCCAGUGCCGGAGAGAAGUUGUUAAGCCUGCUGCUUGGGGAGUAUGUCCGCAAGGAUGAAACUUAAAGGAAUUGGCGGGGGAGCACCGCAACGGGAGGAGCGUGCGGUUCAAUUGGAUUCAACGCCGAAAAACUCACCA
rnacentral:rRNA from 1 species